CACCGGCACAGCCCCACCGAAGGACAUAUACAUCCAAUAAAAAUCACUUUUAGGAGGAGGAAGGCGGGUUGCCAAGUUCCCGCAUAUCCCGGGGUUUGUUUAUCCCGGGGUUUGUUUAUCCCGAUCACCGCCGCCCUGCGGGGCCCAGGAUCCCCUCGCCCAGGCCCAAGGCGGCAGCGGGGCCGGCGUGAAGCCCCUCGGGGGGGCAGACACCGAGCCCCGACCCUCGGUUCCAGCUAUAACCGGGGGGACGCGGCCGCCCCCGCUGUCCCCGACCCCGCCGGGCCCUCACCCCGCGGCUCUCACCGGCUGCCCCGGGCGGCGGGGCCGGCCCGGCCGCUCCGCUGCGCUGCUGCCGCCGCCGCAGCCCCUCACGGCCCCGGCGCUGCUCGGACCCUCCCUCAGCCCCUCCGGCCCUCCCUCGGCUCCGGCGGAAGGGCGGGCGGCACCUCCGGGGCGGGACCGAGCCCGGAAGGAAGCGGGGCCGGGCUGGGCGGAGCGGCGGCCGCGGGUGCCGUGAGGGUGAGCGGGGCUGGCACACGGCUGGACCGGGCCGGUGCUGGGCUGGCACACGGCUGGGUUACUGCUGUGACCGCACCCACAGCCCCUCUCCUCUGUUUUUUGUUAUGGAGCCCUCCCAGCGUGGCGCGUUCCUGCCCCGCAGCCUCCCUUCCUUCUCCAGAGCCCGCGGCAACUCCGCAGGGCUCCAGGGCACGGCCCCGGCCCCACACGAGCACCCCUGAGCUGCCUUGGGGAAAUAUAAAAAUACAAAAUACCCGCUGCUAUUUUAAACUCCUUUUUGCGUGCUCAAUUUCACAUUGUUGUGUGCUUGUUCUUGUUUCCAUCUCUUUUUUUUUUUUUUUUUUCUCAGCACGGACAUCCCACUGUGAAACAGGGAGCGCUUCAGCCGGACAGAUGGACAGAAGGAAAUUACUUCAAAAAAAGGGGAAAUUCUUCUGAGCAGAGGCAGAAAGGUUCUUUUUGAGCACUGCAGAAGCCGGGGCAGUGCUGUGUCACAGGGAUGGGUGGGUGGGAGGGAAGGAUGGGAUCAGUCAUUGCAAUGAUCCAUCCCAGCCCCUCAGCACACACUGCACCAGUGCCUCUGCUCAGGAAAUUAUAAUAAACACCUAAACGCCAUUAAAACA
rnacentral:lncRNA from 1 species